ACGGGUGAGUAACACGUGGAUAACCUACCUAUAAGACUGGGAUAACUUCGGGAAACCGGAGCUAAUACCGGAUAACAUAUUGAACCGCAUGGUUCAAUAGUGAAAGGCGGCUUUGCUGUCACUUAUAGAUGGAUCCGCGCCGUAUUAGCUAGUUGGUAAGGUAACGGCUUACCAAGGUAACGAUACGUAGCCGACCUGAGAGGGUGAUCGGCCACACUGGAACUGAGACACGGUCCAGACUCCUACGGGAGGCAGCAGUAGGGAAUCUUCCGCAAUGGGCGAAAGCCUGACGGAGCAACGCCGCGUGAGUGAUGAAGGUCUUCGGAUCGUAAAACUCUGUUAUCAGGGAAGAACAAAUGUGUAAGUAACUGUGCACAUCUUGACGGUACCUGAUCAGAAAGCCACGGCUAACUACGUGCCAGCAGCCGCGGUAAUACGUAGGUGGCAAGCGUUAUCCGGAAUUAUUGGGCGUAAAGCGCGCGUAGGCGGUUUUUUAAGUCUGAUGUGAAAGCCCACGGCUCAACCGUGGAGGGUCAUUGGAAACUGGAAAACUUGAGUGCAGAAGAGGAAAGUGGAAUU
rnacentral:rRNA from 1 species